CAUCAAAUGACUGAAAGUAAGUAUUGGUCUCUUAAACCACAUUAUAGUAAUUAACAAAUACUUUUGAUGAAUAAUUAAUAAAUACUUUUGAUGA
rnacentral:tRNA from 1 species